UGCAGUCGAGCGGGCGUAGCAAUACGUCAGCGGCAGACGGGUGAGUAACGCGUGGGAACAUACCUUUUGGUUCGGAACAACACAGGGAAACUUGUGCUAAUACCGGAUAAGCCCUUACGGGGAAAGAUUUAUCGCCGAAAGAUUGGCCCGCGUCUGAUUAGCUAGUUGGUGAGGUAACGGCUCACCAAGGCGACGAUCAGUAGCUGGUCUGAGAGGAUGAUCAGCCACAUUGGGACUGAGACACGGCCCAAACUCCUACGGGAGGCAGCAGUGGGGAAUAUUGGACAAUGGGCGCAAGCCUGAUCCAGCCAUGCCGCGUGAGUGAUGAAGGCCCUAGGGUUGUAAAGCUCUUUUGUGCGGGAAGAUAAUGACGGUACCGCAAGAAUAAGCCCCGGCUAACUUCGUGCCAGCAGCCGCGGUAAUACGAAGGGGGCUAGCGUUGCUCGGAAUCACUGGGCGUAAAGGGUGCGUAGGCGGGUCUUUAAGUCAGGGGUGAAAUCCUGGAGCUCAACUCCAGAACUGCCUUUGAUACUGAAGAUCUUGAGUUCGGGAGAGGUGAGUGGAACUGCGAGUGUAGAGGUGAAAUUCAUAGAUAUUCGCAAGAACACCAGUGGCGAAGGCGGCUCACUGGCCCGAUACUGACGCUGAGGCACGAAAGCGUGGGGAGCAAACAAGAUUAGAUACCCUGGUAGUCCACGCCGUAACGAUGAAUGCCAGCCGUUAGUGGGUUUACUCACUAGUGGCGCAGCUAACGCUUAGCAUCUGCUGGGAGUACGUC
rnacentral:rRNA from 1 species